ensembl:lncRNA
UCAUGUCUCCUUGCUUAUGCGCCUUGUGGCAUCUGUGUUUUCUCUCUCCUACUUGGCUGUGAAUUUUGGAGUGCAGAUUCCAUGAAUGCUAAAUUCUUCAUCUCUGAUUUUGCCUGCAGGCUGGGAGGAUGGACGGAUGGAUGGAUAGAUGAUUGGAUGGACGGAUGAGUGGGUGGUGGGUGGUGGGUGGAUGGAUGGAUGGAUGGAUGGAUGGAUGGUGGAUGGUUGAGUGGUUGGAUAGAGUGGUGGCUGUGUGGGCAGAUAAAUGAGGCAUAUAUAGACUUAACAGACACCCACUUCCUCAUUUGCACCCUUCCGCACAGUUAAACUAACAGCCUGAGCCUGGUUCUCUUAGGCUUCCCCUGAAUGCACUUCUGUUUCAGGAGACAGACCUUACUCUCUCUGAAGCCAUAUGGAGAAAGCAGCCUGGGUGUUUGAAUGUGUGUGUAAAUACUUUAUAGGCCCCAUAAACUUGUUUAAAGACGGGUGGGGGUGAAAGUACAACCUGGGGCAGCCUUUGGGGAGGGCAGUUUGGAAGUAGCUAUUAAAUGUUUAAAUGUGCCUACUGCUAAGAUCCAGCAGUUCCACUUGUGGUCAUCAAGUGUGAGAAAUAGAUUCACACGUUUGUGCACGGAGACACACACCAGGAUGCUGGUUGCUGUGCUGCUCAACACGGGGACAAGCUGGAAGUAGCCCAAGCGUCCAUCAGGGGUGGGACAGACACUAAACUCUGGAAGACCCAGAGUGUGGGAAAAGCUGCAGCGGCCAAAGGGUCUCUCCCACCUUCUGGAAAGUUCUGAGGCUCUGUAACUCCUGGCCCGCAGCAAGUGCCCCACUCCAGGCCUCAUUUCCAUGAGUCUCUUUUCCUCUCUCCCCACGUCUUUCCACCCCGAAACCCAGUUGAUUGGAAUGAGAUCUUUAAUCCGUAUGCCUAUGAGCCAGUGGCUUCCCCUUACAGAGGAACAAAGAGGAAAAAUGAGAGAGGAGCCGUUGUGUGCGUAAUUAGUGACUGCUGGCUCUUCAAUUAAAAAGAUUGAAAGGCGCAAUAUUAAAAUUUGAUUUAUGGGCACUACUAUCUGCCUAAUAAUGAGACUGAGAGGGAAAAAGAACCGCAGUCGUUAUAGAAAACCGUGGCCUUUUUUUCUCCGCCAGGAGAUAAAUUGCCUCUCAUUUUCUUAUUGCUAAAGAAAUGUGAAAUGGUUUUAAGCGGAUGUGAUAGGUUCUUCCAAUAUGUUGAAAUCCAGAACUCAGUAAUUUAGGAGUCAUCUGGCUCCGACAUUUCAAGGAAGCUUCUAGAGAGGCAUGGCGACGUGAAUUGCGGGGGCUGCUGCCGAAGUCCACGGGGCACCUGGGCUCAGGUACUAGCAUCCCCACGCAUCUUGAAACUCCAGGUCCCAGGGCACCAAGCCAGCAGAUGCCACAGAGCCCACGAGGGAGUGAGAAGAACCCAGAAUCUCGGUCCAACUCCCAGUUCUGUGACUUAACGGGCUCUUCGAUCCUCAGUUUCUUGAUCUGUAAAAUAGGGGCAAUGAAUACCCUUACUAACUGUACGAUGCUGGGCCGGUGCCCCAGUUUUCCCAUCUGAAGAUAAAAUAGACCCUCCCUCCGGGGGCUGGAGUAAGGAUUAAAUGAGUGAAAACAGGUGAUGUGCCUAGAUGGGUACCUGCCGCGUAGUAAGUGCUCUCUCAAGGUUUUCAAAAUCAUUAUCAUUAGGACUGCCCAUGUCUUUGUAUUUCUGGAAGAGCUGGCAUUCAAACCCAAGCCUUCCAGGUCCGGGGGGCUGGCUAAGGAGGGCGGACAGACCUGGGGUUGUCCUUCUGUCUUUCUCCGGCUGAUGCCCAGGGCAAGUGUGGGUACCUCUCUGAGCUCCAUUUGGCUCAUCUGUCAAUGAGAGUUUCUGCUUGGCGGCCGGUGUUUAAAGAUGAUGGAAACGAGGUGUCCAGGACACAGUGAGCGCUGGGCAGACAGACGGCAGUCACCCUUGCAAAGACCUUUCCUCCUAAGAAACCUGUUUGGGCAAUGCUGUCCCCUGGGAGAAGGGAUCUGGCUCGGGUUGGUGUCCUCCCUGCCCACUGGGGCUCUGCAGAUCUCUCCCCUCCUGAAGGAUGCAAAGUAUUCCCUGGCUUUAAAAAUAAUAG